rnacentral:rRNA from 1 species
GACGAACGCUGGCGGCGUGCUUAACACAUGCAAGUCGAACGAUGAAGCUGGAGCUUGCUCCGGUGGAUUAGUGGCGAACGGGUGAGUAACACGUGAGCAAUCUGCCCUUGACUCUGGGAUAACUGCGGGAAACUGUAGCUAAGACCGGAGACUUUCACUGGAAGGCAUCUUCUGGUGAAGAAAGAAUUUCGGUCAAGGAUGAGCUCGCGGCCUAUCAGCUUGUUGGUGAGGUAACGGCUCACCAAGGCGACGACGGGUAGCCGGCCUGAGAGGGUGACCGGCCACACUGGGACUGAGACACGGCCCAGACUCCUACGGGAGGCAGCAGUGGGGAAUAUUGCACAAUGGGCGCAAGCCUGAUGCAGCAACGCCGCGUGAGGGAUGACGGCCUUCGGGUUGUAAACCUCUUUUAGCAGGGAAGAAGCGAAAGUGACGGUACCUGCAGAAAAAGCACCGGCUAACUACGUGCCAGCCGCCGCAGUAA